rnacentral:tRNA from 1 species
GGCUGGGAUAUAGCUCAGUUAGUAGAGUGCUUACCUCAUAUGCACAAGGUCCUGGGUUCAAUCCCCAGCCAGUUA